CAUAGAUUUUGCAGUGUACUGAUACGUACAUAUGGUUCACAAAUCAAGUCAGAACAAGUUACUGAUAAGGAGAAAAAAGGAGUAGUAAAAUGGUAUUAUAGUCCUGUAUUAAGAUCUGUGUCGUACAACCACUCAUGUCGCUUUAACCCCUGUAUCACAACUCAACUUUGAAUUCUAUGUGUUGUUUUUGCUAGGAGUGCUUUAGACAUGAGAAAUGGAGGUCCUUGUGAAAGCUUUUCUUUCCAAAAUUCUGUUAUUCCAAUAAAAAAGGCAUUACAAGAGACUAAUUUCACAUAUGUUUUCAUAUAAAUAUGUAUAUAUUCUCUCAAGUCUCGUACAUGAGCAGUGUCAAUUUGCUCUUGAAUGGGGCAGGAGCAUCAUUACAGAGAUGAGGACCAUGCACAGCAACUAAUACUGUGUGUUUGGUGUAGGAUUCACAUAAGAGCCC